GACAAAAAUGCUGGUGAUAAAUAGCUUUCCGACAAAGACGAAAUUUAAUUAAGUAAAUUAUUCCUUACCAAGAAUGACUGUUGUCGGAAAAAAAUAAGGGGUGAUUAUUCUAUGUCAAAAGUACCUGCAAUCAAUUACAAUCGAUAUCUUUCGAUUUAUCUCAACAUCAUUUAGAUACCUCACUGUAAUACAUUUAUAGUAGAUCAGGCAAA
rnacentral:lncRNA from 1 species